GUGUCAGCAGCCGCGGUAAGACGUAGGAUGCAAGCGUUGUCCGGAAUUAUUGGGCGUAAAGAGUUCGUAGGCGGUUACUUAAGUCUGAUGUUAAAGACUGGCGCUCAACGCCAGCAUGGCAUUGGAAACUGGGUAGCUAGAGUACGGUAGAGGUCAUGGGAAUUCCUGGUGUAGCGGUGAAAUGCGUAGAUAUCAGGAGGAACACCAGUGGCGAAAGCGCGUGACUGGGCCGUAACUGACGCUGAGGAACGAAAGCCAGGGGAGCGAAAGGGAUUAGAUACCCCCGUAGUCC
rnacentral:rRNA from 1 species